rnacentral:tRNA from 1 species
GGCUCCAUCGUCUAAUGGUCAGGACAUCACGUUUUCAAUGUGAGAACGAGGGAUCGAAACCCUCUGGAGCUA